AAUUUGCAGGUCAAGUUAUUAAGAUUGCUUAUCCUUAUACAUGAAAUCCUCUGUUCAAAAUUCAAAUACCCCAUCUUCCUUACGCUUAGUCUUUUUGUAUGUGAAAAGACCUAUAUACCUAGGUCAAAUAAAGGGUUAAACGUAUAUUACAGAGUCAUAUGAAAGAGUCGAACUUAAAUUCAUCUUGGCCGAAAAAUGAACAACAGAGUUAGAUUUGUUCGACUUAGAUUUGAUGGUUAAACAAAUUUGCUAUUCGUCAAAAGUGGUAAUUUCAAUUUUUGUGUCAUUCCCCAAUUAAAUUUAAGAUAAUCAAAAGCAUAUAUAGCCUAUUGAAAUAACACACUAAUUCUCCCUUGUGGUUUUGCAGAAGUACAAUAUGUUCAUGGCACAAAUAGGUUGUGCAGCAAUUGGUGUACUGACAUUUUCCACAUUUGGCCCAGGAUGGCUUGCUAGGAGCGUUGCCCUAGCUGCAUCCGUUGCUUUCAUGAUUUGCACACGUUCCGCACAUCCACCUGGUAAUUCCUGCUACCUCCUAUCCAACACAAAAUUCUCAUUAAUCUCUUUUUUCUGCUACUAAAAUCUGGUGCACAACUUAUUCUGUGUUCAAUUUGCAGCUGCAAGCUUGCCUUUACUCUUCAUCGAUGGAGCGAAGUUCCAUAACUUGAGUUUCUGGUAUGCUUUGUUCCCGGGCACCGCUGGAUGCGUUCUUCUUUGCUUGAUUGUAAGCACUCUUACACUAAUUAAUCCUAGCCAAUUGCAAAACUUGUUUGCUUAUUUGUUCUGAACACAUUUCAACACUUUUAGUAUGCAAUGGCUGAUCUCACUAAUUAUCUCGAUGUUUCUGCAGCAAGAAAUAGUGUUAUACUUGAAGGAAAACUUCAAAUUUUGAUCAUCUGGAAGCAAACACAUGCUUGGCUACUCACAUAGUUGGAGACAUCGUACAUUCCUUCAUCUCAAGUUCAAUAUUCAAGGAAAUGCACCCCAUAUAGAAAUGAAAAGCAAAACUCGAAUACAACUAAAGGUCAGUAAGUCUUGGGUUCGACUGCGCACCCGAAUCUCCUUAGGGACGCAUGAAAUUAAGUCCAAAGGAGUUUGUUGCCCACAAUUAUAUUGUAGUUCUAUUGUAAAACGUGAUCUAAAUUAUUCUCCUCUACACCAAGAUUGUGGUCCUAAAUCCUAAAAGUAGUGCAUUGAUGGUUCUAAGGUUCUUAAAUUGAUGUGAGGAAAUAUCUACUUGCCAUAUGGUCCAUGACUCCAUGAGAGUAAAUUUAUUUUGCUUUAAUUAGUCCAAUAUCAAAUACUGAUUUUGGGGCUUAACAUCAAUGGUUAAUACAUACAAUUCAUCAAAUUGAUCAAAGAUUGUAAUUUCAUGGAGAGAUUUUUCAAUGUGCUGGAAACAUGGUCUGGUACACCAAUACAGCGUGUAUCAUAAUAUAAAUGGUUGGAUACUUGAAAAAAAUAAUUACAACGAUACUUCGUGUAUAGGAUUGUGUUCCUGGUACACUGAAAAAUAUCUCAACUUGUAGGAGUAUGUUGCCCACAAUUAUAUUGUAGUUCUAUUGUAAAACGUGAUCUAAAUUUAUUCUCCUCUACACCAAGAUUGUGGUCCUAAAUCCUAAAACUAGUGCAUUGAUGGUUCUAAGGUUCUUAAAUUGAUGUGAGGAAGUAUCUACUUGCCAUAUGGUCCAUGACUCCACGAGAGUAAAUUUAUUUUGCUUUAAUUAGUCCAAUAUCAAAUAUUGAUUUUGGGGCUUAACAGCAAUGGUUAAUACAUACAAUUCAUCAAAUUGAUCAAAGAUUGUAACUUCAUGGAGAGAUUUUCCAAUAUUUUGGAAACACAGUCCGAUACACCGACACAUCGCGUAUCAUAAUAUAAAUGGUUGGAUACUUGAAAAAAAAAUUACAAUCACUUGUAUUAUGACACUUGAUGUAUAGAACCAUGUUCCCGACAAACUGAAAAAUAUCUCAACUUCAUCAGUGUUUUCUUGCAUGCAAUAGAGUUGUGCCCACAACAUUAUCAUGGAAUUUUGGGGUUAAAAUGGAGGCUAACAAGAAAACUAUCAUUAUCUAACAACUUCCAAUGCUCCCUCCUACGUAGGUUUAUUUUAUUUUAUUUUAUUUUUUUUUAUUGUUGUUGUUGUUAAGAAUGAAACUCACUCCUAAAAGUUUAGUGGAUAUGAAACAGAUAAAGGGUAAUUUUAUCGGCACGUCUAAAUAAAUAUCUUGUUUUUAUAUUUACAAAAAAUGUAGACGCAAUAUGUUUAAGUACAAAUAACAUAUUUUUGAUGUAAACUAAAGAGAAUUAAAACAAACUCUUAUAUAACACAAUUCAUUUCCAAUUUAGUCAAAUCUAAAGAGCAAAGGUAAAGCUGAACAUCAACUUAGUUUUAAAAAUACACUUGUCGAAAGAGAUUUAAAACUUUGAUCGAAUACAACUUUCCCAACAUUCUAUAUGUACGUAUGAGAUUGAGUAAGAGAAAGAACAAAAAAGGAUCAAAAGCCACCCUAGCUUUAUAGCUCUCUUAGUCAAUCUAAUUCAUUAGUCCACAAACAAAUUUACUAAAUGCAAAUGACAUUCUUUGAUGAUAAAAUAGAAUUAUGAGUCUCGUGUUAUAAAUAGGCAAAAUUUAUAGAGAGAUAACCUUUACUCGGUGAAGGAACGAAGCAGUUGCAGAGUAAUAUACCGACACAAGCUGUUGCAGAGGAAGUAAUGUAUAUUAUUGCUAUUAGAUAUAUUUCUCUUUCUUUCUUCUUCUCAUUCACUCUUCUUUGCACAAUUGAAGUGCUCUAUUUAUAGAGCUACUUCUAUAGAAAAUUACAAAACAUUACUAUUUAGCUUAUGAGUAUAUAGUAUACACAUGUGAUACUUCACUAUACACAUUACUAUACACAUGUGGGCAAACAUACCCAUUAUUUACAACACUCCCCCUUGGAUGCCCACAUAUCAACAUCAGUUGCCUCAUUAAAACCUUGCUUGGAAAAACCCUGUGGGAAAAAACCAUAGCGAAGGAAAAAGAGUACAACUAUACCUGGAUGGUGUUGAGCAUGCUUAGGUUGCCUCGUUAAAACCUUGAUAGGAAAAACCCAGUGGGAAAAAUCCUAAGCGAAGGAAAAAGAGUACAACAUGCAUGUAUCAUGGAUGCUCCCCCUGAAUUGUAUCUCCCCCUGAUUCCGCAUUCUUCAAAUCUGUAAGCCGACGUAAUCCGAUUCCCUGUACCAACUUCUGAAAUGUGCACUUUGGUAGAGAUUUGGUGAACAAGUCUGCUAAAUUUUCAUUAGAACGGAUUUGUCUGACUUUAAUAACUUUAGCCUUCUGAAGCUCAUGUGCGCUGAAAAAUCUUGGAGAUAUGUGUUUAGUCUUAUCACCUUUGAUAAAUCCUUCCUUCAUCUAGGCGACACAGGCUGCAUUAUCUUCAUGGAUGACAGUUGGAGUGUCUGUCUUUGAAGGUAGACCACAUGAAUUCCGGAUGUGAUGGAUCAUUAAUCUUAACCAAGAACAUUCACGACUUGCUUCAUGUAAAGCAAUUAUUUCCGAAUGAUUGGAAGAUGUUGCAACUAGCGUUUGCUUUGUUGAUCGCCAUGAAAUUGCAGUAUCUCCAUUAGUGAACACAUAUCCAUUUUGUGAGCGGGCUUUAUGCGGAUCGGAGAGAAAAAACCAGCAUCUGCGUAUCCAACAAGGAUUUGUUCAUUUGUGGGCUUGUCUGAGUAGAAGAGACCCAUAUCUGUUGUCCCACGAAGGUAUCGUAGAACAUCUUUGACUCCUUUCCAAUGACGGAUUGUUGGAGCAGAGCUAUACCUGGCUAACAAGUUAACUGAAAAAGCUAUAUCUGGUCUAGUACAUUGUGCUAAAUACAAUAAAGCACCUAUUGCGCUCAAAUAUGGUACUUUUGGACCAAGGACCAGUUCAUCAUCUUUCUUUUGGACGAAAUGGAUCUUUCUUAAUGUCCAAAGAACGAACGACCAUUGGGGUGCUAAGUGGAUAAGCCUUGUCCAUGCCAAAUCGCUUCAGUAUUUUUUCAAUGUAAGCUGAUUGAUGGACCAAAAUUCCACUAACACAAUGCUCGAUCUGCAGGCCUAGACAAUAUUUGGUUUUCCCAAGGUCUUUCAUUUUCAAAUUCGCUUUUCAGAUAUUCAGCAGUUUUGUUGAGCUCUUCAAGGGUUCCAACUAGGUUCAUAUCAUCGACAUAUACUGCCACUAUAGCAAAUCCAGUAUUUGAUUUCUUAAUGAACACACAAGGGCAGAUGACAUUGUUGGCAUAUCCUUCUUUAAUCAAAUACUCACUGAGACGAUUAUAACCACAUUCGCCCAGAUUGUUUUAGCCCAUAUAGUGAUCGCCUUAAUUUGAUUGAGAACAUACCCCGUGGUUUGUUAGUUGCUUCAGGCAACUUAAGUCCUUCUGGGACUUUCAUAUAUAUGUCAGUAUCUAAUUCUCCAUAUAGAUACGCGGUGAUGACAUCCAUAAGUCGCAUAUCAAGUUUUUCUGAAAUCACCAAAACUUAUUAAAUAACGGAACGUAAUUGUGUCCAUUACAGGAGAGUAUGUCUCUUCAUAAUCAACUCCAGGUCUUUGUGAAAAACCUUGUGCAACAAGUCGUGCUUUAUAUCUUGCAAUCUCGUUUUUCUCGUUGCGUUUCCUUGUGAACACCCAUUUGUAACCUACGGGGUUUACAUCAGUUGGGGUUUGGACUACUGGUCCAAAAACACUUCGCCUUUCCAAGGAAUUUAAUUCUGCCUGGAUUGCAUCUUUCCACUUAGGCCAAUCUUUGUCUCUGUUUGCAUUCAUCAACAGAGCGGGGCUCAAUAUCAUCACUUAAUAUAAUUUCAGUGGCUAUUGCAAAUGCAAACAUGUCAUCGAUGAUUAUUUCAUUUCGAUCCCACAAUUCAUUAGUACAUGUAUAAUUUAUGGAUAUUUCUUUGCUUUCAUGUACUUCUGUCUCUUCAGGGACAUGUGUCUCAUCAAGGACAUUUUCUUUUUCUGGAAGUACAGAGUCACGAAUUGUGGAUUUAUCAUUCAAUUCCUUUUCUUGAAUGAUAUCAUUUGGGUUCAAUUGGGCCCUCAUCUUUCUCUUUCGAGGGGCUGAAUCUUUUGAACCCUGGGGGGUCUACCACGCUUCAGGCGUGCACUGGAUGAAUCAUUCGCUGCCACUUUAUUUUGUCCAACAGGGACAUCAAUUCUUGCAGGUGCGUUUGCAGCCGGUAUAUAUGACUGUGUCACUUUCGAAGCAUCAUUAAAUGCAUCUGGCAUUUGAUUAGCAAUACCUUGAAGAUGAACGAUCCUUUUUCACUUCAUUUUCACAUUGAGUGCUUCUUGGAUCAAAAUGAGAUAAGGUGGGAACAACCCAUGUUUAGCUCUUGUCGUUCUUCUGGAACGGGUCUUUUCUCCCCCUAACGACGGGAAAACUAUCUCAUCAAAAUGACAAUCAGCAAAACGAGCUGUAAACACAUCACCAGUCAAAGGUUCCAAAUAUCUAAUGAUGGAUGGUGAAUCAAAACCCACAUAAAUUCCCAAUCUGCGCUGAGGUCCCAUUUUAGUUCGUUGUGGUGGUGCAAUAGGCACAUAAACAGCACAACCAAAAAAACUCGUAAAUGUGAAAUAUUUGGCUGAUGUCCAAACACGAGUUGUAUUGAUGAGUAUUGGUGGUUGGCUAUGGGUCUCAAUCUAACCAAUGAUGCAGCAUGUAAUAUGGCAUGUCCCCAUGUAGAAACUGGCAAUUUUGUUUUCAUGAACAGAGUGCGGGCUAUUAAUUGAAGCCGCUUGAUAAAUGCCUCUGCUAAACCAUUUUGAGUAUGGACAUGAGGAACAGGGUGUUCAACACAUUAAUGCCCAGUGCCAUACAGUAAAUCAUCAAAUGUUUGAGACGUAAAUUCACCAGCGUUAUCAAGUCGAAUGGACUUAAUGGGAUGAUCUGGGAACUGUGCUCGCAACUUAAUUAUCUGAGCAAGAAGUCUCGCAAAAGCUACAUUUCGAGUAGACAAUAGGCAAACAUGUGACCAUCGGGUAGAUGCAUCAACCAAAACCAUAAAAAUAUCGAAAUGGUCCACAAGUUGGUUGAAUAGGUCCACAAAUAUCCCCUUGAAUUCUUUGCAAAAAUGAUGGGGAUUCAUCAUCAACCUUUAGUUGUGAUGGUCUAAUUACCAACUUCCCUUGGGAACAAGCCUUGCAAGGAUUAUCAUUCGAGACAUUAAUGUGUUUUGCUCAGUAAUGGAUGUCCAUUAGAGUUGGUAAUGAUUCUACGCAUCAUGGUAGAUCCUGGAUGACCUAGACGGUCAUGCCAAAGCAUAUAAACCUUUGAAUCAAUGAACUUCUGGUUCAUGACAGUAUAUGCCUCAACUGUCUUUAUGUAUGUACAAUACAAUCCACUCGAUAAACCAUGCAACUUCUCCAAUAUACGCUUCUGGGUAUCAUUGGAGGUAAUGCAUAAAUAUUCCACAUUUUCUACACUUUUCGUUUCAAGGUGGUAUCCAUUUAAACGUAUGUCUUUAAAACUCAACAAAUUUCGAAUGGACUGAGUAGCAUAUAAUGCAUUCUUUAUAGACAAUAUUGUUCCAUUUGGUAACAUAAUCUGGGCUUUUCCUGAGCCUUCAAUUACAUCUGAUGGUCCUGAUAUUGUUGUUACCUUUACUUUUGCAAGUACCAAAUUCGAGAAAAUACUUUCGGUCUCGAAGUAUUGAAUGCGUGGUUGCGCUAUCUGCAAGACAAAAGUCUCCGCCAUUGAUCUUGUUUUGAGAAUAACCAUAAUUUUUAUCCAUGAUCUCUGAGUAAAGAAAAAGCAGUUUAUUUCAUACUGGAAUACUACUUUUAUUGAAUUGAAAAUGCGAGCAUUAAACCAUAGGUACAAAUAACAUGAGUACAUUAAACAUAAAUAAUUCAAUCGGACCCAUAAACUUCAUUCCCUCUUUCAUUAAUAAAGUCUGUAGCAUCCAGGUGGGUUGUGUUUAACUGUCCUGAUAAAUUGGUCACUGGAUCAGGGGUUUCCAUUGGUUUAGCCUGGUCAAGGAAAUUGAUCUCGACACCCUUUUCCUUGAAGGAGGCUUGAUAUAGUUUCCACCAGAUGCUUUGGGGUGCGACAAGUACGCGCCCAAUGUCCGUUGCCACCACACCUAUGGCAACCUCCUUCAUGACUUCUAGGAGUGUUCACAUGAGCUUUUCCUUUCUGGCGAUUGGUAUUUUUAAAGCUCGGGCCUGGAUUAUACCUUGGAACCUGGUUGUGAAACUGGACACCAUGGUUCUUGCUUUUCCCUUUCCACCGACCUUGCUUGUGGCCACGUCCUCGUUUGUAAUUAUUGCCACGAGAGGAUAUGGUAUUCCUUUCAAGGGAAGCAACAUUCACUUCUGGGAACGGUGCUGAUCCAGUAGGUCGGGAAUUAUGGUUUUUUCAUGAGAAGCUCAUUGUUCUGUUCAACUACCAGGAGCACAGAUAUCAGCUGGUUGUAUUCAGUGAAGCCUCGCGCUCUAUACUGUUGUUGCAGUACCAUGUUAGAGGCGUGGAAUGUGCUGAAAGUCUUUUCCAAUAACAUCUCAUCAGUGAUAGUAUCCCCACAGAGUUUCAUCUGAGAGGUAAUUCUGAACAACGCCGAAUUGUACUCAGCCACUGAUUUGAAAUCCUGGAUCCUCAGGUGUGUCCAGUCAUAGCGAGCUUUUGGAAGAAUCACCGUUGUCUGGUGAUUGUAUCUGCUUCUCAAGGCAUUCCAAAGGGCUAACGGAUCUUCAACCGUUAAGUACUCGCUCUUUAGUGCCUCAUCAAGAUGACGACGAAUAAAAAUCAUGGCAUUUGCCCGAUCUUGAGAGGAUGAGCUGCUUUCUUCCUUGAUGGUAUCUCCAAGAUUUGCUGCUUCCAGAUGGAUCUUGGUAUCCAAUACCCAUGUAAGGUAAUUCUUUCCAGUAAUGUCCAGGGCAGCAAAAUCAAGCUUUGCCAAGUUUGCCAUUUUCUUUUUCUGAAAGAAAAAUGAGGUGUGUAAGAACUUGCAAUAAUUUGUGUACUGGAGAAAUAUAUUGUUAGAACUUCUGGUUCUUACAAAUUUUUGAUCUUCAGGCCAAAAUGAUAAGUACUCGAAACUUCAGGCUCGAGAUUUACACAAUUAAUGAGAAUGGCAAUUGUACCGCACCAUUCUUAUCGAAAUAAGUAUAGGAUGGGUGAUUAUUCCGCACUACUUUAAACAGCAGGAAAAUUUAAAUAUGUAGAGCAAGGUGGACGAUUAUACCGCACCACCUAAAAUUGCGAUAAAAUUUAAAUAUGCAAAGCAGGGUGGACGAUUAUACCGCACCACCUAAAAUUGCGAUAAAAUUUAAAUAUGCAAAGCAGGGUGGACGAUUAUACCGCACCACCUAAAAUUGCGAUAAAAUUAAAUAACGGGAAAAUUUAAAUAUGCAGGAUAGAGCGGGCGAUUAUACCGCUCCACUUAAAAUUUGCAGUAAAAUUAGAUCUGCAGUCCAAGAUAGGCGAUAGAACCGCACAAUCUUGGAUUGCAUAAAUAAUCAGUGGGUUAGUAGUCAAUAUCUACACCAAACAAGAAAUCAAAGAUAUAAGUGACUGUUAGUUGGAGAACUAGAAGUAAACAUGGUGCAAACAGUUCUUCGCGAGGGUAUACCCAGCAAUUGAGAGAGAGGAAGAAGAAGAACAGUAAAAACCUUAGAGGAAACAUUUUUUUUUUUUUUCUUUCGGUGAAAGGAAAUGAGAAAUGAUUAGAGAGUCGUGCUGAUAACGUGUUAUAAAUAGGCAAAAUUUAUAGAGAGAUAACCUUUACUCGGUGAAGGAACGAAGCAGUUGCAGAGUAAUAUACCGACACAAGCUGUUGCAGAGGAAGUAAUGUAUAUUAUUGCUAUUAGAUAUAUUUCUCUUUUCUUUCUUCUUCUCAUUCACUCUUCUUUGCACAAUUGAAGUGCUCUAUUUAUAGAGCUACUUCUAUAGAAAAUUACAAAACAUUACUAUUUAGCUUAUGAGUAUAUAGUAUACACAUGUGAUACUUCACUAUACACAUUACUAUACACAUGUGGGCAAACAUACCCAUUAUUUACAACAUCUCGAACAAUGAUUCGAUUAAUGAUAAAGAAAGAAAUUUUUAGUUCAAUUAUCCACCUUAACGAUAAAAACAAAAAAUUGAGCAAAUUUUAGUGAGUCUGACUCAUAAUGAUCAAACUCUAUUGGAUGAGUUUAAUUUGUGUCUAUUUAAUAAACAGAUCUCAAAAUUUAAAUUCAAAAUUGAUGAUAGAUAUGAUGUUAAGCAUUAUCAUCAAUUGAAAGUGGUAAGUGAAAUUUUUUUUUUUUUUUAAAGGUGCAAGAAGAAGUAGGGCGGGUGCCUAUAGAGAAGGAUUAUCUCCCCUUUUUUUUCCCUCCCUUUCCUUUUCUUCUUAUUUGAACGAUCACGGUUAAGUUACGUCAAUAUCUUAUAUUAAUUUUUUAUAGAAAUAUGAAAUAAAAAAUGUGAGAAGGGAUGAUAGAAUGGAAUAGAAAGAAAAUAUGAGAUAAUCCUAAUCCGGGGCCUAUAGGCACGUGAGAAAUGGACCAUAGAAAGCAACCCUACACGGUGACAUAAAACUGAUGGGAGACCAUCGUACAUGGACAGAGGCGUCCACUCCAUAUCCUCUGCUUCCUGGGCCCCACCGGGCCCACUUCAUACGUCCUUCCACUCCAUCUCUUAAAAAUUGCAGGUGGUGGGACCCACUUAACUUUUGACUUGAUCAUCAUCCAAUCAGGGCCGUGCAUAUUACGCCACGUAUAGGAAGGCUUCGACGUCGGGUGGUGUCCAACGAGCUGGAAGAUUCUGAGGGAGACGCUGUCUUUUAACGUGAUGCUUUGGACGAGAUCCGAGCAUCGCAGCUGUACACGUGUGCAUGACACGUCAAAACCCAAGCAGCUAGGGUUUUGAUGGUCGGUGGAAAAUCUCCGAAAACGCCUCGUGAUUCGAGAACGAGGGGCACUUGGCAAGCUAUAUAUGGCUCAUUUUUUUUAGUGCCGUAAGAUAUGGGAAUGUAAGUGACAAAAUCUUCUCUUACAAAUAUGCUUUAUGUUGCAUUGUUGAAAGAAAUGUUGACUUCACUGAAAUUUUUGGGAAUUGAAGAUAAAAUCAAAAGGAGAGGGAGAGAAGGAUUUGUAUUGAUUGACGAAAUGAAUAUUAUACUCUGUUUUUAUAAGAGAAAUUAUAAUUAUUUUAAUCAAAUACUAACAAACUUAUUAAUUAUAUUUCUAACUGUAUUACACUUGUACCCUUAAUAAGAAAAAGAUUGAUCGACAAAAAAAAAUGAAAGAAAAAGACUACUCGAUAUAUGUGUAUGGAUCAAAGAUGAAGAUAACGAGAAAUGACUUUUAAUCCUGCACACAGUGUUCUAACCAUGGAGCGAUCGAUAUUCUAAUAUAAAUCAUAUGAUCUAUGUGAUAUGAGAGAAGUAUAAUUUUUGAAUUUGGUUAUACAAGUUCCGUAACUAAUUGUUUUGUUUAAUUGUAGUGGGUAUGGUUAGACUCUUGAUGAAAUGAUUACCAUGUAAGUGAAAAAGCUGUCAUUGAGGCAAAACGUAUUUUUGGCACACUAAAAAAUGUUUCCAUAGGAGAUAGCUUGCACUGUGAAUUCAUGCAAAUUUUACGAAUUUAUGUCUCAAACCGAAGCUCUUUAGUUGACUCGAACACAUUAUACUUUAAAGCCCUCUUUGUGCCGAUUAAAUGGACUUUCAUUCUAACUAAAAUUUGCAAAUACAUAAAUAAUAUAUAUAUAUAUAUGUAUAUGUAUAAAUAUAUUAUCUUUUUAGAUGGGGUAGGUGAGGUGAGCAAACGUUUCUUACAAUUGUAGCCUAUAAAAUUUUGCAUGCAUAAUAUUCAUUUUUAUAUAAUUUAAUGAGAUGACUUGAGUUACAAUCCUUUUGAUUUUUUAUUAGUUUUCAAUCAAACACAAGCUUUAAUUAAAAAUGAGAACACUCCAAAACCCCAAGGGAAAAUUUGCCAAAUUAAAAAAAUAAAGAAAAAGAAAUCAGCCUAUGGAAACCUCUUGCUAAAUCAUGGAUUAAAGGGACUUAUGUACUAUGUUAAAUCACUCGAGUUAUGUCAAAUAUAUUUUUUAAGGGUAAUGUUAGGGAGACUAAAUUUUAAACCAAAUUUGUAAAUCAAAUGACGUGUCACUAAUACGAAAAAGCACGUUAAUGAACGCUUAUGUAAUAAUCUAAUCAUCAACAACCACAUUAUUUGAUUUAAAAAAUUUAAUCUCUAUAGCAUUAUUUAUUUUUUAAAUAAGGAGUCCCAAUUGCCAAUGGUGAAUAGGUAGCAAUUUCAAUGGUCAUAUUCGAUAUCGGAGAUAUGAGUCCUGCUCUCCUACGAUCUUUAUUUUGAGGACCUGAAGACCAAAUGCAUAUUAGUCACAAGAUUAUGUUAGUUUAGAGCCAAAUGUUAAAAAAAAUUACAACUUAAUAAAUCAAAACAAGAAAAAUGAUAUUACUAAUCGUUCAUGAAUUUUAAGUUUGUCUUGGUUUAUUAAGUUGUUAAAUAUUAUAAGCCUUGAGAUAUAUAUACUAAUAUAAUUUUGUGACUAAUUAAUAUGAUUUUGGUCCUCACAGAUCCUCAAAAUGAGAACUUUAGAAGAGCAGGAUUGUUGCAGAUUUUACUAUUAAACUUUUGAGUAUGAAAGAGAAGUUAAACGACGCGUGACAGAGAUGUUUUGCAAUGAUUAUCAAAUUGCUUCUUCAAGUUUCUAAUUCUGUCAUGAAUUGAGAAGAGGAAGCAACCGCAUUCUCGACUUGGCUAAAUAUUAGCUAAAGAACAUACAUUAGGCUUAUAAGGAUAUGAUUGCAUCAAAAGCUGGCUUCCUUUUGAUUUCUUAAUGAAUUUCAAUUCCUAUGGUUUGAAUAUGGGAAACUUAUAUUUAGUUAUGGCUGCCCGAAUAAGACAGUUCUCUAAAUGAACAAUGAUUUGAACAAACUCGAAUGUGAGAUCAAAAUAUAGGAGAUCUCAUGUUUUAAUAGAGGAGAUCUCAUAUAUGUGAGAUUUGUAAACAUAUGACGUGGCUCGAGCAUCCUACACAAGUUUUCUCUCUUAAUUGGCAAUGAAGGAGAAUUUCCUUUGCGCUAAGGUUGAAAAUCAUAAGAUUUUGCAUUAUCAAGUUUCAAAAUAAAAUUAUUCACACAUCUACUGAUGACCUUAGGCCCUUCACAUUGGUUAAGGUGAGCGUGAUACCUAUUAUAAGAAUAAGAUAUUUGAUUUCUAUAAAAUUACUGCUAAACUAGUGUGAGUUCAAUAUAUUGGUAGCAUCUCGAGUUUGAUAUAUUGAACUUAGGAGUCUAAUAUUCUGAACUCAUGAGUUCAAUAAAUUUGUAUCACUCAAAUUUUCUGACCUACUAUAAAAAUAUGAUACAUCUAUGAGCUAAAUAUAUUGGUAUCAAAUUCACUUUUUUCGGCCUAGAACUUGUUGAUCACAAGAUGAUCACAUUACUCAUAGGAAAUUUAUCGAACACGAAGGAAAAUGAUGUGCCUCCCUAAUGUAUCUAAAAAAACUGUAAAAACUUUCUGCCUGGAUUUGAAAUGCAUGUGGUCUUUCAACCAAUCCCUUUCAUUGCCCAAGCAAAAAGGAUAAGUUGGUGGACAUUGCACACCCCUAUUUUUGGUGGCACAAGCUGUAGUUCCCAAUAAACAAAAGCACCACUAGGGUGCUCGUUGCUAACUCGAAAAGUAUGAUCAAAUUUGCUAAAGAAAUCACGCAAGAGAAGUUCCUCCAACACACUUAACCUUAUUGCCAAUUUGGCCAAGAUCAUAGUUCUCAACAUGGAGAUAUUUUUCAAGUGUAUCCGUAAUACGAGGUACGUAUCAUUAAACAAAUGAUGAGAUACUUGUAUUACAAAAUUACUAAUUUAAAAAUAAAACUUUCUUUCAGUUAUAUAAUGACACAUGAUAUUUACAUGUGUUCCAGCGCAAAAAAGAAAAAUUAUUCUCAACAUGAUAGAAGCAAGAACAUCACUAUCAUUUGAUGGGGUUGUGUGCCAAAUUGUCUCUCUUUUUGUUUAAUGGGACCCUUUCUAAUCGAUGUCAUGAUCUUAUAUCACCGGUUUUGGUAGCCAUAUUCCCAAGAAUCUAAACCCAAACGAAACCAAGAGUGGAGGACUGAUUAGUGAUUAUAUGGAAAGGAUGAAGAAUUAUGAACUUUAUGGUUAGCAACUUCUUGAGUUCUAUAUGUGGAAGAAAAAACUUCAGUCGAGCUGCUCUGUCACGAUACCUCAAAGACACGCACAAGGAGAUCCACCAAUGACGAAGGGUUUAUUUUUCCUUAUUUGUGUCUUGGAUGGACGGACGUGGCAGGGUACCCCAACAGAAAAUUUUCUUCUAUGCCUUUUGGCCUCCACCAAAGAAAGGAAAGAAAAGAAAAAGUGGACGAAUAAAAAGAGAGAAAAUAACAUGGAUGACUCGCCAUCAUGAAGUUGACCCCCACAAUAUGAAUGAAAGAAAGAAAGAUGGAUGCUUUGCUUCGCUGAGGUUCACAAGAAAUCUGUGCAACCAGAUUUUAUCGCUAGCAACAUUAUACAUUUCAAUAGGUAUACAUACAUAUAUACAUACACACAGACCAAUCAUCUGCACGUCCCUCUUCUGGUUAAACAUUCUGCAGCUCAUUUUUAACUUCAAAAGUUCCUUGGUGUGCAAGAAACGGCAAGCAACAUCGGGAUAGAAGCAUAAAGAGGAACUAGUAAGGGCUCGUGUUUAGAACUUGUUUCAUGAAUUUUUCAAGGGUAAAUUACACAGUAGCCCCUCAGGUUUUGAGGUUUAUUACAACCUCAUACAACAUCUUCAAAACAUUUCACUUUUAUACCUUAAGUACUAUUUUAUUUCAAAAUAAUACAUCCGUUACAUUUUUCAUCUAUUGAUCCGUUAAAUGCUGACGUGGUUGCCACAUGUAUGCUACGUGGCUGCCAAAUGUCUGCCACAUGGUAAAUAAUUUUUUUUUUUAAACCUGAAUUUUCUUUAAAAAAAAUAAAAAAUAAACCCACUAUCCCUAACCCCCCCCCAAGCAACCCAUAAUCCAAAAACCUGCAGCAGUAGCAAGAAGAAGAAGAGGAGGGAGGAAGAAGGAAAAACAAAAAAAAAAAAAAUCCCAAAACACAGUUCCUCCCCCCAGCGACCCAAAUCCCUAUCCUUAACCCAAAAUCCAAAAACCUACAGCAGCAGCAAGAAGAAGAGGAGGAGGGAGGAAGAAGGGGGAAAAAAAAAUCCCCUCACCCUCCUUCACCUCCCCCCCUCCCCCUGCGACCUCACCUCGCUCCCCCCCACCCCCCGCGUGACCUCAGCCUCCUUCCCCACCCCCCCCCCGGGGCGACCUCACCUCGCUCCCCCUCCCGCACGACCUCACCUCGCUUCCCCCCCCCCCAAAAAAAAUCUUAUCCCCUCAUCCUCAUCUCUCCUCUCUUCUCCCCGCAAUCCCCAAACCCAUCUCCCCCAUCUUCUUCUUCUUCCCUGCAAACCCGGGAAAAAAAAAAAAAAAACCCUCCAGAUCCCGUCUCGCCAUCGCCGAAUUUAAGGAGUGGGGGUGUGUAGAGAAGGGAAGAGGGUGGGUGCGAAGGUUGGUGCGGAGGGAGGGAGGGAGGGCCACGGGUUGGGGGGUGCACAAGGAGGGUCGCAGGCGGGUGGGGGUUCUUUCUGGGUUUCUGAUUUUGGGGGGUUAUGUGUUUCUGGGUUUUGGUUGACGGGGUGCUUUAUUUCAGUUUUUUUUUAAUUAUUAUUUAUAUUUAGAAGAUUUAGGUUUUUAAAAAAAAUUUAAAAAAUUAAUUUUUUUUGCCACAUGACAGAUAUUUAGCAGCCACAUGGCAUAUAUGUGGCAGCCACGUCAGCAUUUAACAGAUCAAUGGAUGGAAAAUGUAACGGAUGUAUUAUUUUGAAAUAAAAUAGUACUUAAGGUAUGAAAGUGAAAUUUUUUGAAGAUGUUGUAUGGGAUUGAAAUAGACUCCAAACCUGAGGUAUGAAAAUGUAAUUUACCCAUUUUUCAAAUAAGAAGAUGAAAUGAGAGGCUUUUCCGUCAAGUUGCAUUAACAAGAUAAUUUUAUUUAAUUACAUGAAUUGCAUACAAAAAUGGUCCAUUAAACACUAAUUAAGAUCCCCAUGAAAUAAAAAAAGAUUACAAAUGGGGCAAAAUCCACCAUCUUUUGCAUUUGAAACCUAGCUCCCACCACCACAUCUGGAUCGGGGUGCGACAUUUUGCUACUUAUUUUCACUUCUAUGCCAUACUUUAAACAAGAAGAUAAUAACCCGGGAAUUCGAAUUUUGCAGAAGAAACUCAGUAAGACCAGGACCAAAAGGCAUGAUCUUCCAUCGGGAAUCCGAAAUUACAGGAAUUUGCAGGCGUAUCGGAGUAAUCAACAUCUUCAAGCUUUGGGAAGAUGUAUGGAGGCAGCAGGCUUUUGCUGAAGUUAUCUUCUUCAUCUUGGGAAAGGUCAGACUGCUCAGGUUCGAAAACAUAUGAAGAAUCACCAGGCUCUAAGAGUGAAGAGUGAACUCCAUCCGGGUAAUGUGGGCUGUCUGAAUCAAAUAUGUCACUCCUGCCUGAACUAUGAUCUUCCUGCUUAGAGGCCACAGCUGAGACUUUUGAUACUUCGCCUUCGGAGGCCGAGUCAGCAAUUGGCUUCUGCGGC
rnacentral:lncRNA from 1 species